rnacentral:rRNA from 1 species
UACGAAGGGUGCAAGCGUUACUCGGAAUUACUGGGCGUAAGGGGUGCGUAGGUGGUUGUUUAAGUCUGCUGUGAAAGCCCCGGGCUCAACCCGGGAAUGGCAGUGGAUACUGGACAGCUAGAGUGCGGUAGAGGGUAGUGGAAUUCCCGGUGUAGCAGUGAAAUGCGUAGAGAUCGGGAGGAACACCAGUGGCGAAGGCGGCUACCUGGACCAGCACUGACACUGAAGCACGAAAGCGUGGGGAGCAAACAGG